rnacentral:rRNA from 1 species
CCUACGGGCGGCAGCAGUAGGGAAUAUUGCUCAAUGGGGGAAACCCUGAAGCAGCAACGCCGCGUGGAGGAUGAAGGUUUUAGGAUUGUUAACUCCUUUUGUUAGAGAAGAUUAUGACGGUAUCUAACGAAUAAGCACCGUCUAACUCCGUGCAAGCAGCCGCGGUAAUACGGAGGGUGCAAGCGUUACUCGGAAUCACGGGGCGUAAGCGUGCGUAGGCGGGGUAAUAAGUCAGAUGUGAAAUCCUGUAGCUUAACUACAGAACUGCAUUUGAAACUGUUACUCUGGAGUGUGGGAGAGGUAGGCGGAAUUCUUGGUGUAGGGGUAAAAUCCGUAGAGAUCAAGAGGAAUACUGAUUGCGAAGGCGACCUGCUGAAACAUUACUGACGCUGAUGCACGAAAGCGUGGGGAGCAAACAGGAUUAGAUACCCUAGUAGUC